GCCAUGAGCCCCCCCGCAGCCGGAACACUCAUGUCGGAACCUGCAGGAAUUCCCCCACUUGCAGUGUCCCUCGUUGUACAUCCAGCAGAAGCCUUUCUUUUGCCCAGCCGACACGGCACCUCCUGCGGCUGUGCCGGUUGUCCCAAGAAAGGGCGCAGCCUUUUGCGCCAUCAUAAGGCGCAUCCAUAACGGCAGAUCCAUUUGGUCCCACCGCAUGCUCGUAUUCACCGCUAGCCGUUGGCGAAAUUGUUCAUCAUACCUCCACCACGCCAAUCCUCCGUAGGUUCGAUAUGCAUCACCUAUCCCAUCCAAGUAAUAAAAAAGUUCCGAACAACGACCCGGGUUCUUUUCCCCUAUAACGCUUGCCAAAAUACAGAAGGCCCGUAGCCAAUUCCCAAAAGUUUUCGGUAUCUUGCGAUACCUCCGCCUUUUUUCCUCCUC